GAUGAACGCUGGCGGCGUGCCUAAUACAUGCAAGUCGAGCGAACAGACGAGGCGCUUGCUCCUCUGACGUUAGCGGCGGACGGGUGAGUAACACGUGGAUAACCUACCUAUAAGACUGGGAUAACUUCGGGAAACCGGAGCUAAUACCGGAUAAUAUAUUGAACCGCAUGGUUCAAUAGUGAAAGACGGCUUUUCUGUCACUUAUAGAUGGAUCCCCGCCGCAUUAGCUGGUUGGUAAGGUAACGGCUUACCAAGGCAACGAUGCGUAGCCGACGUGAGGGAGGGAUAGCCCGCCCGGGAGCUGGGACGCGGACCAGGCUCCUGAGGGAGGGAGCAGUAGGGAAUGGGACGCAGUGGGCGAAAGCCUGACAGAGCGAGGGCGAGUGAGUGAUGGAGGUGUUCGGAUCGGAAUAAUCUGUUAUUAGGGAAGAACAAAUGUGUAAGUAACUAUGCACGUCUUGACGGUACCUGAUCAGAAAGCCACGGCUAACUACGUG
rnacentral:rRNA from 1 species